rnacentral:lncRNA from 1 species
AGUUGGAGACUCUGCUGUGGCAAGAGGUCCACCCCACCCCCGGGCGCCAUCUGGGGACACUCCGGCAUCCCAUUCCAAUGGCUGUUCUGCCAGGGCCUCACCCUGGCUCUUGGUCUUAGGACUGCUGUGUUUGCCUGCCUAGGUGUGCGGGUCAAUCUGUGCAGAGCUGGGGAGCAAGUGAUCACUGGGAGCAAAGACAGCUUUCAGCCUGGAGGGAGAAGCAUUUCUUCCCGCUAGGAUAAUGGCCAAUUCAGAGGCCCUAGACCAUGCUGUCCCCAGAGCCUGGGUGCAUUGCUGAUGACGAGAUCCCAGCCGGGGGUCAGGCCUCCCAGGACUGUCAAGCUGGGCUGCUUGAGUCCCUGGCUCCAGGGGUGGGGGUGGGGCUGAAUGGCAAGGGAGAGAGCUGGUCCAUUCCAGGCUCCAACCUCAGAACCCUCUGGGAGUAAGAUUACCCAGCCCUGUGCUCGGGCUGAGCAAUCAACUAUAGCGCACACGCUCCUUUACUGUGGUUCCGAGAUAGUUAAUUGAAAUCUGGAUACUCUGGGUAAAGUCAGAACAUCCAGCUGGGCCCAGCAUGGGAGAUCAGCUUGAUGAGUCUCCCGCACCCUAUUCUGGGCAUCAGCAGAGUCAGUUCUCUGAAG